GACGAACCGUGCGAACGUUGUUCGGAAUCAUUGGGCUUAAAGGGCGCGUAGGCGGCGGCGAAGUUGGAAGUGAAAUCCCAUCGGCUCAACCCGUGGAAUCGCUCCCAGUACUGCGUCGCUCGAGGGGGAUAGGGGUCUGCGGAACUACCGGUGGAGCGGUGAAAUGUGUUGAUAUCGGUGGGAACGCCAGUGGCGAAAGCGGCAGACUGGACCCUUCCUGACGCUGAUGCGCGAAAGCUAGGGGAGCAAACGGG
rnacentral:rRNA from 1 species